CCUACGGGAGGCAGCAGUGAGGAAUAUUGGUCAAUGGUCGGAAGACUGAACCAGCCAAGCCGCGUGAGGGAUGAAGGUACAGAGUAUCGUAGACCUCUUUUGUCAGGGAACAAAAGCCGGGACUUGUCCCCGCCUGAGGGUACCUGAAGAAAAAGCAUCGGCUAACUCCGUGCCAGCAGCCGCGGUAAUACGGAGGAUGCGAGCGUUAUCCGGAUUUAUUGGGUUAAAAGGGUGCGCAGGCGGGCUGUUAAGUCGGCGGUGAAAGCGCGGGGUUCAACCCCGCCCCGCCGUGGAAACUGGGAGUCUCGAGUGGGAGCGAGGGAUGCGGAAUGCGCGGUGUAGCGGUGAAAUGCAUAGAUAGCGCGCAGAACCCCGAUUGCGAAGGCAGCAUGCCGUCUCGACACUGACGCUGAGGCACGAAAGCGCGGGGAUCGAACAGGAUUAGAUACCCUUGUAGUC
rnacentral:rRNA from 1 species